AUUGAACGCUGGCGGCAGGCCUAACACAUGCAAGUCGAGCGGAGCGGGGGACGGGGGAGGAAUGCCUAGGAAUCUGCCUGGGAGUGGUGGAUAACGUCCGGAAACGGGAGCUAAUACAGCAUACUAUCAGAGUAGCCUAGGUCGGAUUGGCUAGUGGGUGGGGUAAAGGCCUACCAAGGCGACGAUCCGUAACUGGUCUGAGAGGAUGAUCAGCCACACGGGAACUGAGACACGGUCCAGACUCCUACGGGAGGCAGCAGUGGGGAAUAUUGGACAAUGGGCGAAAGCCUGAUCCAGCCAUGCCGCGUGUGUGAAGAAGGUCUUCGGAUUGUAAAGCACUUUAAGUUGGGAGGCGUUACCAACAGAAUAAGCACCGGCUAACUUCGUGCCAGCAGCCGCGGUAAUAC
rnacentral:rRNA from 1 species